rnacentral:rRNA from 1 species
CCUAUGGUGGGCUGCAGUGGGGGAUAUUGCACAAUGGGGGAAACCCUGAUGCAGCGACGCCGCGUGUGGGAAGACGGUCCUCUGGAUUGUAAACCACUGUCCCCAGGGACGAAGAUGACGGUACCUGGGGAGGAAGCUCCGGCUAACUACGUGCCAGCAGCUGCGGUAAUACGCAGGGAGCGAGCGUUGUCCGGAAUUACUGGGUGUAAAGGGAGCGUAGGCGGGGAUGCAAGUUGGGUGUCAAAACUACCGGCUCAACUGGUAGUCGCACUCAAAACUGCAGCUCUUGAGUGAAGUAGAGGCAGGCGGAAUGCCUAGUGUAGCGGUGAAAUGCGUAGAUAUUAGGAGGAACACCAGUGGCGAAGGCGGCCUGCUGGGCUUUUACUGACGCUGAGGCUCGAAAGUGUGGGGAGCAAACAGGAUUAGAUACCCUGGUAGUC